rnacentral:misc_RNA from 1 species
UGUGGGAGCGGGCUUGCCCGCGAUUGCGGUGGGUCAGUCAAAUACUUAUCAACUGACCCACUGCUAUCGCGGGCAAGCCCGCUCCCACA